UUGCUGAGAGUGGAGCCUGUCAAAAAUCAAACCGGUGAUCAAUCUCUGCCAUAAACAUUUUUUUCACCAUGAAAAGCUAACCCGUGGAGAGCGCUGGUGAGCCUUGGCAAUUGAAAUAAUUUUCUUUCCAACUCGAUUGACUCGUUGUUGUCUCUGUACUUUAUCACACCGUCAUCGCCGAUCUGUUGCUUCAGUAGAAUAAUCUCUUUCUGAUGGGCAACAGUCAGUCGGAAGACGAAACCAUCCUGAAAAAGUCUCAAAUGAAAUUUCAUCGGCAAAGCUCGUUCGUCACUUCGUCAGUAAAAGGCAGUGUUCACCUUCCUUGGUGAUUUCCUUCUCACUGCGAUACACUGUGGCUAACGGAGGGAAAACUUCUGUGUAUCUAAACACUGGGCUGCAACCUUGAACACCCGUAACCGUCAGUGGAAGAUCCGUCAACAACGUCAGUUGUUUCACUAAAUUAUUGAACGUGUUCAGCACUUGCAACGUCGCUUCUUCACCGGUGCCAUAUGCGAAUUUGGUGAGCUUGAUC
rnacentral:misc_RNA from 1 species